UACGUAGGGUGCGAGCAUUAAUCGGAAUUACUGGGCGUAAAGCGUGCGCAGGCGGUUUGUUAAGUCUGAUGUGAAAGCCCCGGGCUCAACCUGGGAACUGCAUUGGAAACUGGCAAGCUCGAGUAUGGCAGAGGGGGGUGGAAUUCCGCGUGUAGCAGUGAAAUGCGUAGAGAUGCGGAGGAACACCGAUGGCGAAGGCAGCCCCCUGGGCCAAUACUGACGCUCAGGCACGAAAGCGUGGGGAGCAAACAGG
rnacentral:rRNA from 1 species